CCAGCUGGGACCACCCAUGUCGAAAAUAUAUGCAGGAAAGUCGCUUUGUGUAAAAGUGUCAGCUAAAUGUUAUAUAUUACACAAUUAAGCUUUUAAAAUGGUUGUUCUCCACCCAAAAUCGGAUGUGAUUAAAUGGUGUGUGUUUGCAGAUGGGGAUUGCUAGGAGAACACACUGGUGUAAAAAAAUAAAGUCACUAUUUGUGGCAACAUGUGAUAACUUUCUUGUUAUGGAGUUUUUAAGCUUCUGGGAAGACCUCAUAACUUUCAGUUUCAGAGAGGCACCUCUGACUACAAGGAAGUGACUCAGACAUUUAGAAUGCUGAUGAUCCUCUCUCCAGUGGUAAACAGUAAGAGCUUAUGUUAACAUUAUAAAUCACCUGAUUGACUUUGUUUGAAGUGAGAUAGAGUGUCUAUUUUUGUUAUAUUGUUUAGUAAAUGAAACCUGUAUUAGUGACUGUAUUAUCAUCACACCAGCAGUCAUGAGUCAAGACAGCAGUAAAAUUCCACGUCACUGUAAUCUCCUGUUAUGCACUCUGGACAUGCUUUGGUAGAAUCCAAAUAGCUAACUACCAUCAGGUCCUAAUGGCCUUGUACUCAGGGCUCUGUUGUCCCUCCAUCAGGUCCUAAUGGCCUGUUACUCAGUGCUCUAGUGUCCCUCCAUCAGGUCCUAAUGGCCUGGUACUCAGGGCUCUAGUGUCCCUCCAUCAGGCCCUAAUGGCCUGGUACUCAGGGCUCUAGUGUCCCUCCAUCAGGUCCUAAUGGCCUGGUACUCAGGGCACUAGUGUCCCUCCAUCAGGUCCUAAUGGCCUGGUACUCAGGGCACUAGUGUCCCUCCAUCAGGUCCUAAUGGCCUGGUACUCAGUGCUCUAGUGUCCCUCCAUCAGGUCCUAAUGGCCUGGUACUCAGGGCUCUAGUGUCCCUCCAUCAGGUCCUAAUGGCCUGGUACUCAGGGCUCUAGUGUCCCUCCAUCAGGUCCUAAUGGCCUGGUACUCAGGGCUCUAUUGUCCCUCCAUCAGAUCCUAAUGGCGUGGUACUCAGGGCUCUAGUGUCCCUCCAUCAGAUCCUAAUGACCUGUCGCGCAGCAAGAACAUGGUCCUCAAACAAUGGUCGAUGCGUGGAGUGUGUUCUUAUAUUGCGUGAAAAGUGUUCCUAUAUUUAGUUCUUAGCAGAUGCUCCUCUAUAAAACCCAAGUAUCCGACACAUCAUCGAAACACCAACCAGUGGGAAAGCGCGUGGUCUCUGUUUAUAUAUGUUUAUUCUACCAGGCAAGUCAGUUAAGAACAAGUUCCUAUUUUCAAUGACGGCCUAGGAACAGUGGGUUAACUGCCUGUUCAGGGACAGAAUGACAGAUUUAUAUCUUGUCAACUUGGGUAAACCGUUACGGUUAUUGGCCCAACGCUCUAACCACUAGGCUACCUGCUGGUUAUUGGCCCAACGCUCUAACCACUAGGCUACCUGCUGGUUAUUGGCCCAACUCUCUAACCACUAGGCUACCUGCUGGUUACUGGCCCAACGCUCUAACCACUAGGCUACCUGCUGGUUAUUGGCCCAACUCUCUAACCACUAGGCUACCUGCUGGUUACUGGCCCAACGCUCUAACCAC
ensembl:lncRNA